CGUAGCGUUGUGCAUCUCCCUACUGAUCUCUGCGUUUGGAAACGGAUCGAUGUCAGCUUGUUUCCAGAUUUGACCGAGGGCGUCGCCACUAUCGCAGUAAAUAUGGGGUGGGACCCAACGAACCCUAAUUGUUGUAAUAUCCGAAUAAAAGAUGAUAAAUAUUAACGAGGACGAGAUUAAAGAAUUAUGGACUCGUAGUAAUCAGUUUAAACCAAUUAUUGAUAACAGCGAGACGCCUUUUGAAAUGUACCGUAUGAUAUAUGUGGAAAGGAGAACAUUGAUACGUACAUACAGGGUGAAACGCAUUGUUCGUGGCACUGGAUAUUAAUCGAUUAACUGUCAAUCCCUCGUGGUAAGGCAGCUGCACGAUAGUUCAAAGUGGAAGCAUCAAUGCAGAGGGACCUUUUGUGCCUCUUGAAAAAAUCAGCAUCGUUACCAAUACAGCUUUGACGGCGAAGGACGCCAUGAUUUUUUACAGAGAUGGAGAUUACAAAAAAGUAUAUGCUCGACUUGCUGUAGUCCCAACCGUCGUUCGUGGGUGAGACUGUUUUGUUACAGAACGUACGUUCCUGUUUCGUCAUAAGUGUUAAGGAUAAAUCUUAUGAAUUUUCUUGCUGAAUUCUUACGAGCUAAAUUCAAUUACAGUGCGUACCAAGAAGACUCGUCAAUUUGUUACGGACCAGGGAUAAUACACGAUUAAUCCACGUAUAAUUAUGCCCUUUACAUAACGUACCAUUCGCUUAAGUAUUAUUUCAUAUACGAGAGCAUAGUAAUCUGAUGUGUAGCAACGUAACGAGCAUCCACGUACAGCAGAGAGCAUUUUUAAUAUUGUUCUUGACAUUAACAUGGUUGCUGUCGACAAAAGAUGCACACACGAAAAACGUCCAACGACGACAACAACAAUAAUAAUAAACCGCGUGGAUAAUGUUUUCCAAAAUGUAUUUACUUAAAAAUACAAUGAAAGUGUCAAUUCUGAUGGAAUGGACAGAAAUACAUAAUCUGUAUGGUGUAGAAAUUAAAAGAAACAACGGAUGGAGAGAACAAGAGAGCGAGUAGCUAUACCUAUGAACGAACACAGUCAAAACGAAGAGUGAAACUUCUGACAGAUAGACAAGAAUUAAGGACAGAAGAUUCAGAGAUGACACGAUGCUCGUUAUUAUCCUGUACAAAAGUAGCUUUCGAACAAGACUUAUUAUGAACACACAAACCAAUAAUUCUUAGCCUAGGUACCUGGGCCACCUUAAAGAGAGGAUUCACGAUUUGAAAGCGUCAUGUCGCCAUCUUCGUACGAACACGAAAAUAUGAACGCGCCUUGUCUCGUCACAUUAGUAUGUCCCACCAGGAGACAUUACCUCCCGUG